GACGAACGCUGGCGGCGUGCUUAACACAUGCAAGUCGAACGGAAAGGCCCUGCUUGCAGGGUGCUCGAGUGGCGAACGGGUGAGUAACACGUGGGUGAUCUGCCCCUUACUUUGGGAUAAGCCUGGGAAACUGGGUCUAAUACUGGAUAGGACCAUGCUGUAGGUGGUGUGGUGGAAAGAUUAGUUUCGGUAAGGGAUGAGCUCGCGGCCUAUCAGCUUGUUGGUGGGGUAAUGGCCUACCAAGGCGUCGACGGGUAGCCGGCCUGAGAGGGUGGACGGCAACAUUGGGACUGAGAUACGGCCCAGACGCCUACGGGAGGCAGCAGUGGGGAAUAGUGCACAAUGGGCGCAAGCCUGAUGCAGCGACGCCGCGUGGGGGAUGACGGCCUUCGGGUUGUAAACUCCUUUCAGCCAUGACGAAGCCCUUGUGGUGACGGUAGUGGUAGAAGAAGCACCGGCUAACUACGUG
rnacentral:rRNA from 1 species